AUUUAGGCAAAGAAAAACCUUGUGAGUGGGUGUUUAGUCUUGGCAGGGGGCAUGCAGGUUGCUGAAAUGAGGUGCAUAGGCAUAUGUGAGCACUGCAGAGACAGAGUACCCCUGAAGACCUAUGUAGCACAUGUGGAUGAAAUGUUUUUUCCAGGUUUAAAUCAGGAGCUUAGUAGCUUAUGUAGGUUGAUGUAGGGCUCCCAUGGGUGGAACAGAGUGCUCUGAGACCAGCCAACGUCACACACUCAGGAUGGUGAAGAGUAGGUGCCAAGUUGCUGAGGAUGUUAUGUCCUUUGCUGUUCAGGAAGCAGUUCAGAGGCCAGGCAUUUCCUCAAGAAACAUCUACACCUCCCAUAGUGCCUCCCAGGACAGUCCGAGCAAGGCAGUGCUCUCUGACCCUCCUACCAAUGCAGAGCCACCAUACGCCAGGAAAUGCAAGACAUGCAGGGGAACAAGCAAAAGAGGCUUUGGGACCUGCUCCCAGUCCGACCUCGUGUUGUGCCCAGUGGCUCUCAAGGGGAAGCACAAGUGGCCUCUGGCUCUUAACACAACAAGGUCCAAGUACGCUCUUCUCCCUCAGGUAUGUUUUAAGCAGAGGGAAAUGCUGCAGCGUCUGCCCGUGCCCAGCAGACUGGGACACUUUGCCCCAGCCUUCCAGGUUUCUGGGCUGGGCAGUCCCAGUGUGCUGAGACAGACAGCCUCAGGGCUGCCCAUCCUCACGCAUGGUGACCCCUUCUCACACCUGAGCCCUGCUACGCAUGGACGUUGGCAGACACUUGUUCUAUGUACUCCAAAGGGGGAAUGGUUCUCAUUUACACAACAGCUAUGAAGAAAAUAUUUUGGAGCCAGAUGAAAGAACCACUGAUAUUGAUGGAGACACUUCCCUUGGGGUCAAGAGGCUGCAAAAAUGGCCCAUUCCUUUUGCAUGUUAAAAUAAGGCAAAGAGCUGAAGAUUCUGAAGAAAGGGUGGUUUUGUUUGUUUGCCUUUUUUUUUUUUGAGAAAACACAGCUGAUAGCAUUUCUUUGUUAUUGUGUUUUAAGUGGCCUUAACAGUGUCUUUCUAGUCAUCUCAGCUCUUAUCACCAUAGUGUCUGAAUGGCUGAUGUGAGUUUAUUGCAAUGGUUGUAUAUUUGUGGUCAAGUUUAUUAUUUAACAGCUCAAUUUAAAAGAUCUUACACUGCUAUUAAGAUGAGAUGUGUGAAUCAAAAAUGCAAGGUUUGUCUAAUAAUGGUGUGUGGUACUAAAGGGCCGAAAAUACAUAAGUGUAAUGAUUUGUUUUCUGUGUACAGACUUUAAAAGAGAAAAGCUGGAAUCAUUUAGGAGAAAGGACAAAGAAAAUGGCAAUAAGCUAAAGCCAGCUUUCAACAGACUGAAUUUACAUUGGCUGUUUUAGAGAUUUUUGGAGUUUGUGUUAUGAGGGAGAAGGGGUUGUGCAGGCUCCUCCUACAUCUCCGUGAGCUCUGUUCCUCUCUGCCUCUGGAUACUUAAUUAUAUGUGAAUAUUUUAACAGGAAAAAACAACAUAUGGCUAAACUAGGUCAAAGAAGGUUUAUGCGGCUUUCCCAUGUAAUUUACAGGAAGAGGUUGUGAAAAGAAAUCCUU
ensembl:lncRNA